GACAGAGGGUGCAACCGUUGUUCGGAAUUACUGGGCGUAAAGCGUGUGUAGGCGGUCCGCUAAGUCGGGUGUGAAAGCCCUGGGCUCAACCCAGGAAGUGCACUCGAAACUGGCGGGCUAGAGUACUGGAGAGGUUGGUGGAAUUCUCGGUGUAGAGGUGAAAUUCGUAGAUAUCGAGAGGAACACCGGUGGCGAAGGCGGCCAACUGGACAGAUACUGACGCUGAGACACGAAAGCGUGGGGAGCAAACAGG
rnacentral:rRNA from 1 species